rnacentral:misc_RNA from 1 species
GCCAGCACGAUCGAGUGCCAGAACACGUAACGCAGGAUCGAUCCUUCGUGGCCGUACCAGUUGGUCGCGGUGGAAGCCACCACGAUGGACUGGGCGUCGAUCAUCUUGCCCAUCACGCCGCCGGAGGAGUUCGCCGCAGCCAUCAGGAUNGCGACAGGCCGAGCUGUUCCGAUGUGAUCUUCUGCAGGUUGCCGAACAGCACGUUCGAGGCCGUGUCGGAACCGGUCAGAGCCACACCCAACCAGCCGAGCAAUGUACCGAAGAACGGAUACAGCACGCCGGUCGCAGCGAACGCCAGACCGAGCGUCGCAUCAACGCCAGACAGGCGCGUCAACGUGCCGAUCG